rnacentral:rRNA from 1 species
GUGCCAGCCGCCGCGGUAAUACCGGCAGCACGAGUGAUGGCCGAUUUUAUUGGGCCUAAAGCGUCCGUAGCUUGCUGUGUAAGUCCAUUGGGAAAUCCACGCGCUCAACGCGUGGGCGUCCGGUGGAAACUGCACGGCUUGGGGCCGAGAGACUCGACGGGUACGUCCGGGGUAGGAGUGAAAUCCUAUAAUCCUGGACGGACCACCAAUGGGGAAACCACGUCGAGAAGACGGCUCCGACGGUGAGGGACGAAAGCCAGGGUCUCGAACCGGAUUAGAUACCCGGGUAGUCC